GUUUACGGCCAUACCACCCUGAAUGUGCCCGAUCUCGUCUGAUCUCGGAAGCUAAGCAGGGUCGGGCCUGGUUAGUACUUGGAUGGAAGAAAGUUAAGUAUGGUGAAGG
rnacentral:rRNA from 1 species